UUGUCUCAAAGAUUAAGCCAUGCAUGUCUCAGUACAAGCCAAAUUAAGGUGAAACCGCGAAAGGCUCAUUAAAUCAGUUAUGGUUCCUUAGAUCGUACACACAAUUACUUGGAUAACUGUGGUAAUUCUAGAGCUAAUACAUGCAAACAGAGCUCCGACCGGAAACGGAAGGAGUGCUUUUAUUAGAUCAAAACCAAACGGUGGCGGGUUCGCGCUCGUCAUCGUACAACUUGGUGACUCUGAAUAACUUUAAGCUGAUCGCACGGUCUAGCACCGGCGACGCAUCUUUCAAAUGUCUGCCUUAUCAACUGUCGAUGGUAGGUUCUGCGCCUACCAUGGUUGUAACGGGUAACGGGGAAUCAGGGUUCGAUUCCGGAGAGGGAGCCUGAGAAACGGCUACCACAUCCAAGGAAGGCAGCAGGCGCGCAAAUUACCCACUCCCGGCACGGGGAGGUAGUGACGAAAAAUAACGAUACGGGACUCAUCCGAGGCCCCGUAAUCGGAAUGAGUACACUCUAAACCCUUUAACGAGGAUCAAUUGGAGGGCAAGUCUGGUGCCAGCAGCCGCGGUAAUUCCAGCUCCAAUAGCGUAUAUUAAAGUUGUUGCGGUUAAAAAGCUCGUAGUCGAAUUUGUGUCUCGCGCCGCCGGUUCAUCGUCCGCGGUGUUAACUGGCGAGUGGCGAGACUUCCUGCCGGUGGGUUUUCGGCUUUGGUUAUAUUAUAUAAUUCGGCUCGAAAGGGUCGUGUUUUAUUUUAUUCUCUACAAUUAAGUCGACCCAACUCUCAAUCCUGCCGCGGUGCUCUUCAUUGAGUGUCGAGGUGGGCCGGCACGUUUACUUUGAACAAAUUAGAGUGCUUAAAGCAGGCUAAAAUUUCGCUUGAAUAUUGUGUGCAUGGAAUAAUGGAAUAGGACCUCGGUUCUAUUUUGUUGGUUUUCGGAACUCCGAGGUAAUGAUUAAUAGGAACGGAUGGGGGCAUUCGUAUUGCGACGUUAGAGGUGAAAUUCUUGGAUCGUCGCAAGACGAACAGAAGCGAAAGCAUUUGCCAAAAACGCUUUCAUUGAUCAAGAACGAAAGUUAAAGGUUCGAAGGCGAUCAGAUACCGCCCUAGUUUUAACUGUAAACGAUGUUUGCUGGCAAUCCGUCGACGUUCCUCCGAUGACUCGACGGGCAGCUUCCGGGAAACCAAAGCUUUUGAGUUCCGGGGGAAGUAUGGUUGCAAAGCUGAAACUUAAAGGAAUUGACGGAAGGGCACCACCAGGAGUGGAGCCUGCGGCUUAAUUUGACUCAACACGGGAAACCUCACCAGGCCCGGACACCGGAAGGAUUGACAGAUUGAGAGCUCUUUCUUGAUUCGGUGGGUGGUGGUGCAUGGCCGUUCUUAGUUGGUGGAGCGAUUUGUCUGGUUAAUUCCGAUAACGAACGAGACUCUAGCCUGCUAACUAGGCGAUUUUUGACAUCGCAAAGGCCCGCCGGUGUAUUAGUUUUCGGGGNCGUUCGUCGUCGUCGUCGUCAAUACGCGCGAUGGUGGCGAUACGAUUUCGUGCUUUAUACCGCGCGCGGUUUUUACUGUCGGCGUACAAACAAUUCUUCUUAGAGGGACAGGCGGCAUUUAGCCGCACGAGAUUGAGUAAUAACAGGUCUGUGAUGCCCUUAGAUGUUCUGGGCCGCACGCGCGCUACACUGAAGGAAUCAGCGUGUCCUCCCUGGCCGAGCGGUCCGGGUAACCCGCUGAACCUCCUUCGUGCUAGGGAUUGGGGCUUGCAAUUGUUCCCCAUGAACGAGGAAUUCCCAGUAAGCGCGAGUCAUAAGCUCGCGUUGAUUACGUCCCUGCCCUUUGUACACACCGCCCGUCGCUACUACCGAUUGAAUGAUUUAGUGAGGUCUUCGGAUCGACACGCGAUGGCGUUUCGACGUCGUCGAUGUGUAGAAAGAUGACCAAACUUGAUCAUUU
rnacentral:rRNA from 1 species